UACGGGGGGGGCAAGCGUUGUCCGCAGUUACUGGGCGUAAAGCGCGCGUAGGCGGGUCUUUAAGUGAGGGGUGAAAGGUUCGGGCUCAACCCGGACACUGCCUUUCAUACUGGGGAUCUUGAGUGCGGGAGGGGCGAGUGGAAUGGUCGGUGUAGCGGUGAAAUGCGCAGAUAUCAGGAGGAACACCAAUUGCGAAGGCAGCUCGCUGGGACGUUACUGACGCUGAGACGCGAAAGCGUGGGGAGCGAACAGG
rnacentral:rRNA from 1 species